rnacentral:rRNA from 1 species
CCUACGGGAGGCAGCAGUGGGGAAUAUUGCACAAUGGGGGAAACCCUGAUGCAGCGACGCCGCGUGAGUGACGAAGUAUUUCGGUAUGUAAAGCUCUGUCAGCAGGGAAGAAAAUGACGGUACCUGACCAAGAAGCCCCGGCUAACUACGUGCCAGCAGCCGCGGUAAUACGUAGGGGGCAAGCGUUAUCCGGAUUUACUGGGUGUAAAGGGAGCGUAGACGGCAGGGCAAGUCUGGAGUGAAAGGCGGGGGCUCAACCUGUGGCCUGCAUUUGAAACUGUUUUUCUUGAGUACUGGAGAGGCAGACGGGAUUCCUAGUGUAGCGGUGAAAUGCGGAGAGAUUAGGAGGAACACCAGGGGCGAAGGGGGUCUGCGGGACAGCAACUGACGCUGAGGCGCGAAAGCGUGGGGAGCAAACAGGAUUAGAUACCCGAGUAGUC